rnacentral:rRNA from 1 species
AGUGAACGCUGGCGGUAGGCCUAGCACAUGCAAGUCGAACGGCAGCACAGUAAGAGCUUGCUCUUACGGGUGGCGAGUGGCGGACGGGUGAGGAAUACAUCGGAAUCUACUUUUUCGUGGGGGAUAACGUAGGGAAACUUACGCUAAUACCGCAUACGACCUACGGGUGAAAGCAGGGGAUCUUCGGACCUUGCGCGAUUGAAUGAGCCGAUGUCGGAUUAGCUAGUUGGCGGGGUAAAGGCCCACCAAGGCGACGAUCCGUAGCUGGUCUGAGAGGAUGAUCAGCCACACUGGAACUGAGACACGGUCCAGACUUCGACGGGAGGCAGCAGUGGGGAAUAUUGGACAAUGGGCGCAAGCCUGAUCCAGCCAUACCGCGUGGGUGAAGAAGGCCUUCGGGUUGUAAAGCCCUUUUGUUGGGAAAGAAAAGCAGCAGGUUAAUACCCCGCUGUUCUGACGGUACCCAAAGAAUAAGCACCGGCUAACUUCGUG